rnacentral:rRNA from 1 species
GAAGGCUGUCCGAGCUGGAGUAUUUUAUUACCCUUGUCUUUUGCGCACUUGUUGUUUCCUGGUCGGGUUCGCUCGCCACCAGGACCACCAAACAAACCUUUUUUAUGCAGUUGCAAUCAGCGUCAGUACAAACAAUGUAAAUCAUUUACAACUUUCAACAACGGAUCUCUUGGUUCUGGCAUCGAUGAAGAACGCAGCGAAAUGCGAUACGUAGUGUGAAUUGCAGAAUUCAGUGAAUCAUCGAAUCUUUGAACGCACAUUGCGCCCUUUGGUAUUCCAAAGGGCAUGCCUGUUCGAGCGUCAUUUGUACCCUCAAGCUUUGCUUGGGUGUUGGGCGUUUUUGUCUUUGGGCGCCCAAAGACUCGCCUUAAAGUGAUUGGCAGCCGGCCUUUCUGGUUUCGCAGCGCAGCAAAUUUUUGCGCUUGCCAUCAGCAAAACGGCAAUCCAUCAAGCCUCCUUCUCACGUUUGACCUCGGAUCAGGUAGGGAUACCCGCUGAACUUAAGCAUAUCAAUAA